GACGAACGCUGGCGGCGUGCCUAAUACAUGCAAGUUGAGCGCUGAAGGUUGGUACUUGUACCAACUGGAUGAGCAGCGAACGGGUGAGUAACGCGUGGGGAAUCUGCCUUUGAGCGGGGGACAACAUUUGGAAACGAAUGCUAAUACCGCAUAAAAACUUUAAACACAAGUUUUAAGUUUGAAAGAUGCAAUUGCAUCACUCAAAGAUGAUCCCGCGUUGUAUUAGCUAGUUGGUGAGGUAAAGGCUCACCAAGGCGAUGAUACAUAGCCGACCUAAGAGGGUGAUCGGCCACAUUGGGACUGAGACACGGCCCAAACUCCUACGGGAGGCAGCAGUAGGGAAUCUUCGGCAAUGGACGAAAGUCUGACCGAGCAACGCCGCGUGAGUGAAGAAGGUUUUCGGAUCGUAAAACUCUGUUGGUAGAGAAGAACGUUGGUGAGAGUGGAAAGCUCAUCAAGUGACGGUAACUACCCAGAAAGGGACGGCUAACUACGUG
rnacentral:rRNA from 1 species